CACAGCGGCAGGUGCUCCUCUGCUUGUUGCUGUGGGUCUCAGGUGCCCAUGGGGACGUCACGAUAACUCAGUCUCCAGGCUCCCUGGCUGGGUCUCCAGGUCAAGGGGUCACCAUGAACUGCAGAGCCAGUCAGAGUGUUAGCAAAUAUGUAGCCUGGUAACAGCAGAAACCUGGGCAGGCUCCCAGGCGCCUCAUCUAUCUUGCAGCAAACAGGGCCACGGGCAUCCCAGACCGGUUCAGCGGCAGUGGGUCUGGGACAGACUUCACCCUCAGCAUCAGCAACCUCCAGGCUGAAGAUGUGGG